rnacentral:lncRNA from 1 species
CACACACCGGCUGAAAACAGGAGAAGGAAGCUGAAAAAAUUGAGAAAGAAAGAAAAGAGAAAGGAAAGAGAGAAAGAAGAAAAGAAAGAAAGGAAAAAGGAAAAGGAAAAAAAAGGUAGGGUUGGCUAUUCCAAUUUCAUCUUCAAUUUGACAAAUUUCUUGGUAUGUUUUAUGCUUAAUUUUUUUAGGGUUGCAAUUUAUUGGUUUAAUUUCCAGAUUGAAGGAAAGGAUAUGUUUGCAAGCCAAUAUUUUUGAAUUGGAAAGGCUACUUAUAUUAAGGUAUGAAAUACCAAUUUUGGAAAAAAACCUUGAAUUUUUAUUUGGGUUUUUGAAUUAAUAUAGUUAUCAGGAAUAAUUGUAGAGAUGAAAUACUCAUCUGAAGGCAUGAAUUUAUGGAGCAAGAUGGAAAAUUAAAUUGAUUAAAUUAUAAUUAUUAGUUUUACUAGUUUGGAAGAAGGAAUUAUUUUUAUGUUUGGAGUGAAGAUUAUUUUGAUGAAUUAGAUUUUAAUGAAAGGACUAGAAGGUAGAAUUAGUUCCAACUAUGAAGGAAAUUAAAGAAUAUAUCCAAGUGUCGAGAAGUCGAGCAUUUCGUACUUAAAGUUAAGAAUACUUGGUAGGAUGGUUGUUAAAUUGGUUAUCUUGUAUCAUAUUUCAGGAGAUGACGAGUCCAUUACUUGGUGAGUAGAUAUAAAAACUUAUUUUUCAGAAAUUAAUAUUUAUUAAAUUUAUGUUAGAUUAGAAAAUUUAUUAUUUCAAACAGUUAAUUUGACAGCAUGAUUUUUAGGAUAAAGUGGAUUUAUAGUCAAUUAUUUUAAAGUUAAUUUCAGUUCAGUUAA